GACGAACGCUGGCGGCGUGCCUAAUACAUGCAAGUCGAACGCACAGUUUAUACCGUAGCUUGCUACACCAUAGACUGUGAGUUGCGAACGGGUGAGUAACGCGUAGGUAACCUGCCUGGUAGCGGGGGAUAACUAUUGGAAACGAUAGCUAAUACCGCAUAAUAUUAAUUAUUGCGUGAUAAUUGAUUGAAAGAUGCAACUGCAUCACUACCAGAUGGACCUGCGUUGUAUUAGCUAGUAGGUGAGGUAACGGCUCACCUAGGCGACGAUACAUAGCCGACCUGAGAGGGUGAUCGGCCACACUGGGACUGAGACACGGCCCAGACUCCUACGGGAGGCAGCAGUAGGGAAUCUUCGGCAAUGGACGAAAGUCUGACCGAGCAACGCCGCGUGAGUGAAGAAGGUUUUCGGAUCGUAAAGCUCUGUUGUAAGAGAAGAACGGGUGUGAGAGUGGAAAGUUCACACUGUGACGGUAUCUUACCAGAAAGAGACGGCUAACUACGUG
rnacentral:rRNA from 1 species